rnacentral:rRNA from 2 species
AGCGACAGGCUUAACACAUGCAAGUCGAGGGGCAGCAAUUUGUAGCAAUACAAAGUUGGCGACCGGCGCACGGGUGAGUAACGCGUAUGCAACCUACCUACAACAGAAGAAUAAUCCGGCGAAAGUCGGUCUAAUACUUCAUAAAACAGGGGCGCCGCAUGGUGUUAUUUGUUAAAGAUUUAUCGGUUGUAGAUGGGCAUGCGUACCAUUAGGUAGUUGGUGAGGUAACGGCCCACCAAGCCUACGAUGGUUAGGGGUUCUGAGAGGAAAGUCCCCCACACUGGUACUGAGACACGGACCAGACUCCUACGGGAGGCAGCAGUGAGGAAUAUUGGUCAAUGGGCGAGAGCCUGAACCAGCCAAGUCGCGUGAAGGAUGACGGCCCUAUGGGUUGUAAACUUCUUUUGCAGGGGAAUAAAGAUAUCCACGUGUGGGUAGUUGUAUGUACCCUGCGAAUAAGCAUCGGCUAACUCCGUGCCAGCAGCCGCGGUAAUACGGAGGAUGCGAGCGUUAUCCGGAUUUAUUGGGUUUAAAGGGUGCGUAGGUGGGCUAUUAAGUCAGUGGUGAAAGUUUGUCGCUCAACGAUAAAAUUGCCGUUGAAACUGGUGGUCUUGAGUAUGGAUGAAGUAGGCGGAAUGCGUGGUGUAGCGGUGAAAUGCAUAGAGAUCACGCAGAACUCCGAUUGCGAAGGCAGCUUACUAAGGCAUAACUGACACUGAAGCACGAAAGCGUGGGUAUCAAACAGGAUUAGAUACCCUGGUAGUCCACGCAGUAAACGAUGAUUACUAGGAGUGUGCGAUAUAGUGUAAGCUCUACAGCGAAAGCGUUAAGUAAUCCACCUGGGGAGUACGCCGGCAACGGUGAAACUCAAAGGAAUCGACGGGGGCCCGCACAAGCGGAGGAACAUGUGGUUUAAUUCGAUGAUACGCGAGGAACCUUACCCGGGAUUGAAAUGUACCUGACGAACCGCGAGAGUGG